CUACGGGUCGCUGCAGUGGGGAAUAUUGCGCAAUGGGGGAAACCCUGACGCAGCGACGCCGUGUGAGGGAAGAAGGCUUUCGGGUCGUAAACCUCUGUCAGGAGGGAAGAAACCCAUGAGGUCGAAUAGCCUCUUGGCUGACGGUACCUCCAGAGGAAGCACCGGCUAACUCCGUGCCAGCAGCCGCGGUAACACGGAGGGUGCGAGCGUUAAUCGGAAUCACUGGGCGUAAAGCGCGCGUAGGCGGCGCGGUCAGUCAGAUGUGAAAGCCCCCGGCUCAACCGGGGAAUUGCAUUUGAUACUGCCGUGCUUGAGUCUCGGAGAGGGUGGCGGAAUUCCCGGUGUAGGAGUGAAAUCCGUAGAUAUCGGGAGGAACACCAGUGGCGAAGGCGGCCACCUGGACGAAUACUGACGCUGAGGUGCGAAAGCGUGGGGAGCAAACAGGAUUAGAUACCCCAGUAGUC
rnacentral:rRNA from 1 species